GCCAGGCUGCUGCUGCACAGCCACCUGCUCACAGCAGCUGUGCUCCCCACCUGUGCGCGUUCCACUGGGACCUGGUUCUUCUGUUCUACUCACACUGUCUGGCAAAUAGCUGCUGUAAUGCUUCCUCUGCCUCCAGAGUGCUGAUUUCUGAAUCUGCCCAUCCAACACAUGGAGCCUCCACAGGAAACAUCCUUGGUCAAUGAUUAAGCUACUAAAAAACUACUGCAGGAUCCAAGCUGCUACACAUAGCUACAGAACGUUAACUUCCACUUACAUAUGGAAUUCCUUCUGUUGCUUUUUGGGACAUUGGCUCCCAGAAACAUCCACUCCUGACAGACACUGAGGGAUCCCAAGGGGUACAGAACAGCCCCAUCACCAUACAAGCUCCUGACCUGGGCACCUGAAGAGCCUUUAGACAGCUGGAGGUGUGAGGUUUGGCUCUUCAGUUACCCUGAUCCUGCACAUUUUUUCCAUAUGGGUUGAUAACGCACGUUUCAGGUGGAUUCCAGACAGAUAGUGUUUACUGAGAUAAAGGAAUGAAAACAUGAAGAAAAAAAAAAAAACUACCUAGGAAUAAUUCUACAGAAUUACAGGAUUCUGUCAAGUAAUUUGAUUACAUCUUUUAGGAGUCUGUUCAUUACACUUCUGGUGGCAAAAGCUCGGGAUAAUGUUGGAAAACCUGCUAUUAGCAUAGUCAGCCUCUUUCUCCAGCUGUAAAACUGGGCAGUUUUAAUACUUCACCCAGGAACACCAAAAGGUAAAAAACAACAGAUUCUUGUGCAAAAGUACAAAACACCACAAUUACAGGCAAGCAGGAAUUAUUUUGUUCUGCAGCUACAGAGUUGCAAUAAAUGAAAUCACAUGGAGGGGAAAUACCUUAGGGUUUGGUAGAUCAAGCUGCAUUGUGAUUUAUGCUCUGGGAAAAGCUAUUAACAUGCUUUUAAUGGAUAAAUUUAGCAUCUAGGGAGUGCUCAAACCCAGGAAUUACACACCAACAGGGAGGGAACACACAAAAGAAGGAACUGCACAGCAGCAGUGAACAGGGGAUGCCUGCCACAGGGAAUCCUGCAGUGAAACAGUUCUCCAUCACUGAUUUCUCUGAGUGAGCCAGCAAAAACUGCAAAUGAGAGCCCAUGAAAAGAGCAUGGAUGAAAGCAAAGGGACAGGUCCUUUCCCCUCCUCAGUCUCUGGUGAUUUGGUUGUAUUUAACAGAUAAUUAAUGCAUUUAAGUCAGAAGAGACUAAUUUAUGUUGGCUGUGCUUCAACAUUACCUUUUUUCUUUCAGUGGAAAAGGACCUCUGUCCUCAGAGCUCUGCACAUCACAAAACAGGCACGUCAGGAGUCAAGGUAAGGCUUCUUCAGGACUCUUGAUUCUCCAAGGCUCCUGAUA